UUAGAAGCAGCCACCCUUUAAAGAAAGCGUAAUAGCUCACUAGUCGAGUCGGCCUGCGCGGAAGAUGUAACGGGGCUAAAACUAUGUGCCGAAGCUGCGGAUGUAUACUUUGUAUACGUGGUAGGGGAGCGUUCUGUAAGCCGAUGAAGGUGUGUUGAGAAGCAUGCUGGAGGUAUCAGAAGUGCGAAUGCUGACGUGAGUAACGACAAAACGGGUGAAAAACCCGUUCGCCGAAAGACCAAGGGUUCCAGUCCAACGUUAAUCGGGGCUGGGUGAGUCGACCCCUAAGGCGAGGCCGAAAGGCGUAGUCGAUGGGAAAAUGGUUAAUAUUCCAUUACUUCUGUGUAAUGCGAUGAGAGGACGGAGAAGGCUAAAUCAGCCUGGCGUUGGUUGUCCAGGUGAAAGGAUGUAGGCAUGUAUCUUAGGCAAAUCCGGGGUACUCUAUGCUGAGAUCUGAUAGCAAGCUGUACUUGUACAGCGAAGUGGUUGAUGCCAUGCUUCCAGGAAAAGUCUCUAAGCUUCAGUUACACAGGAAUCGUACCCGAAACCGACACAGGUGGUCAGGUCGAGUAGACCAAGGCGCUUGAGAGAACUCUGCUGAAGGAACUAGGCAAAAUGGUACCGUAACUUCGGGAGAAGGUACGCUGUUGUUGGUGAUGGAACUCGCUUCCUGAGCUGACGACAGCCGCAGAAACCAGGCCGCUGCAACUGUUUAUUAAAAACAUAGCACUCUGCAAACACGAAAGUGGACGUAUAGGGUGUGAUGCCUGCCCGGUGCUGGAAGGUUAAUUGAUGGGGUUAGCGUAAGCGAAGCUCUUGAUCGAAGCCCCAGUAAACGGCGGCCGUAACUAUAACGGUCCUAAGGUAGCGAAAUUCCUUGUCGGGUAAGUUCCGACCUGCACGAAUGGCAUAAUGAUGGCGGCGCUGUCUCCAGCAGAGGCUCAGUGAAAUCGAAAUCGCUGUGAAGAUGCAGUGUACCCGCGGCUAGACGGAAAGACCCCGUGAACCUUUACUGCAGCUUGACACUGAACUUUGACCUUACUUGUGUAGGAUAGGUGGGAGGCUUUGAAGCUGGAACGCUAGUUCCAGUGGAGCCGUCCUUGAAAUACCACCCUGGUAAUGUUGAGGUUCUAACUCUGUCCCGUGAUCCGGGACGAGGACCGUGUCUGGUGGGUAGUUUGACUGGGGCGGUCUCCUCCUAAAGAGUAACGGAGGAGUACGAAGGUGCGCUCAGCGUGGUCGGAAAUCACGCGUAGAGUAUAAAGGCAAAAGCGCGCUUAACUGCGAGACCCACAAGUCGAGCAGGUACGAAAGUAGGUCUUAGUGAUCCGGUGGUUCUGUAUGGAAGGGCCAUCGCUCAACGGAUAAAAGGUACUCUGGGGAUAACAGGCUGAUACCGCCCAAGAGUUCAUAUCGACGGCGGUGUUUGGCACCUCGAUGUCGGCUCAUCUCAUCCUGGGGCUGAAGCAGGUCCCAAGGGUAUGGCUGUUCGCCAUUUAAAGAGGUACGCGAGCUGGGUUUAGAACGUCGUGAGACAGUUCGGUCCCUAUCUACCGUGGGCGCUGGAAAUUUGAGAGGAUCUGCUCCUAGUACGAGAGGACCAGAGUGGACGAACCUCUGGUGUACCGGUUGUGACGCCAGUCGCAUCGCCGGGUAGCUAUGUUCGGAAGGGAUAACCGCUGAAAGCAUCUAAGCGGGAAGCCUACCUCAAGAUAAGAUUUCCCUAGGACUUUAUGUCCUCUAAAGAGCCGUUCGAGACUAGGACGUUGAUAGGUUGGAUGUGGAAGCAUAGUGAUAUGUGAAGCUGACCAAUACUAAUUGCUCGUGAGGCUUGACUAU
rnacentral:rRNA from 1 species